CGUGGUCUUGCAACAGUGGCGUGAAAAAUCAAGUGUUUGGUUCUUGGUAUGGCUACUCUUAAUUUGGACAUGGUUAUUGAAUUGAUGGCAACCUUUCCGUGCUUGGAGAAGUUGUACAUUCAGUGCCAGAAAUCAUGGAAAAACAAUUUGUGGCGUCGUAAAUACCGGGGUCUCAUUACCAGCACAUGUUUUGACAUCCAUCUGAAAACAAUAGUAUUGGAUUAUUAUCGGGGCACAAAAUCUGACAUUGAUUUUGUUACUUUUUUCGUGCUCAAUGCUAGAGUGCUUGAAAGGAUGAAACUUAUAGUAAAGAGGAACGAUGAUAAGUUCGUGGCAAUACACCGUCAUAGGCUUCAACUAAUGAACAGGGCUUCACAUGGUGCUCAUAUUAACUUUCGACGCAAGGAUUCGGAUGUGUGUAUCAGUAACAUGUACAAUUUUUGUAUACAGGAAAAUAUUUUAAAUUUGUAGCUGUUUACAUGCAAUUGUAAAACACUUGUUCUACUAGAAAUACAGCCAGCGACAUUAAAGUUACUAA